CCUUGGCUCAACCAAGGAAGGGCAUUUGAAACUGUCUGGCUUGAGUACGGGAGGGGGAAGUGGAAUUCCCGGUGUAGAGGUGAAAUUCGUAGAUAUCGGGAGGAACACCGGUGGCGAAGGCGGCUUCCUGGACCGAUACUGACGCUGAGACGCGAAAGCGUGGGGAGCAAACAGGAUUAGAUACCCUGGUAGUCCACGCCUUAAACGUUGGGCACUAGGUGUUGUGGGUAUUGACCCCUGCAGUGCCAAGGGCGAAUUCCACA
rnacentral:rRNA from 1 species